AGUGCAGAGUCUCUCAGCCACAUCCCAGACCUACUGAAUCAGAAGCUGCAUCUUAACAAGACGCCCCGGUGACUGGCACAUACAUUAAAGUCUGAGAAGCCGGUCGACUCUUGGCAUAUAAAGAAUGCUCAUUAGAUGUUAGUGCUACUCCCCUGCCUACUAAACUCUCAGUUAGAGUCUGACUCAGGCAAGAGGAAAAACCCAAAAUGUAGAGAGGAGCUCCGAAGAUGGACACUUCAUUAAAUUUUAAAUGUGCGAGUUUUGAAGCCAAGGGAGCCUGGCCGAGUUCUUUCUGCACUCAGCCAUAUGGCUCCUCCACUGUGUUCAUAUGUAAAAUGGGAAUAAUAGUCACAGCACCGCAUAUGGUUGUUGUGGAGAUUAACUGAGACAAUAUUAGGGAAACACUCAGCACCGUGCUUGGCACCCAGCAGUUGUUGGAUAAACUCUUGCCACUCUUGCCGUUGCGAUACAUUGCCCCUGAACACAGACCUUAUUACCAUGCAACGAAAUAGACAACAUUCGCAUGGAUCUUUGCCAUUCGUAAAGCACUUUAGUUCGUCAUACCAUUUUAACUGACUCUCGCAACCCUUAAAGUAAGAUAGCAUGAAAGAGAUCAAUUUUCAGAGAGAAAAAAAAAAUAAAACUAGACUUGAGGGUGAAGUGAGUUGUCCAAGUUAACUAAGGUUUAAAUCUCUGGAGUCUGACACUAAAAUCUGUUGUCAGACAGAGCACCCAGCCAGUAACGAUGGAAAAUAUAAAAAAAAACUGAAUAAGACAACAUUAGACUCUAGAGAUGGUGGUGUCCACCCUUCCUAUUUUGCAGGAGGGAAAACCGAGGCCCACGGAGGCCCAUGGAGGGGAAGAGACACGACGCUCAGGGUCCCUCAGGCAGGGUGUCAGCCCUGGGGACAGAACCCAGUUUGCAAGGCUCUCUAUCCAGAGUCCUUCCCAAUGUCCAGACCCCUUUUCCUCCCCCAGCGGCCGGUCUCCACCCGCUGAGCCUGGGCUGCCUGGCAUCCCUGGGCUGGCUCCGCGGGCGGGCGGGUCUAGUGGUCAGGAAGCCUCCAGUGGCCACCUUCCCUUCCAGCCAAUCAGAGGAGGAGCUGGCGUUGCCAAGGGGAGGGCUGCAAGGUUGCUAGGACACGGUCUACAGGGAGACCUUUGCCGGAGUUGGUUCUGGCACCCGCCACAGUGGCUUUCUUGAGGGCUGGAAGAGAGACUCCAUCUCCACAGGGGAGAGACGCCUCCAGCUGCUCCCGCCAGCGGCCGCCGGGCGGACCCGUGUCAGAGGGAGGCUGUGCCGCCCGCCCGGCAUGCUGUCUGCUCGGCUCGGCGACUGAGGCUCCCGCGUCCCAGCUCUGCCAGGAAGCCAAGUGAUCGCUGUGGGAACCAAAUGAGAUGAUGUCUGUAAGGUGGCUGGCACAUAGCAAGUGCUCGAUGCAGGUUUGUGAGCAAGCCAGCAGAAGAGUGAGCGAGCGGCUCAGGACCCCUACGAACCAGAUCCUACGGGGCCAGAGACCAGCUGACACUGCAGUUUGAGGUCUCAAGGUCAUACGACGCUAAGAAUGUGGUGUGAAAAGUCUUGGAGAGCAAACCCCAUGGCUAGGCUGCCAGUCGGCCUGUCUGUAGGCCAGAAAAGGAGGUUGUCUCUCCAGCCCCUUGUGCAAGGGAUUUCUGCAGCUCAAGAGGUUUGAGCCUGGAAUCUAGGUUCGAAAGAAGAAACGCCUUGAGAACCAAGGUCACGUCAUGCUAACUGUUGGAUCCCGCCUUUCCACCAGCUAAAACCUGGCUCGGGGCAGCACGGGACAGGCCCGAGGGCCACAGUGAGUGAGUGCUGAGUGCAGUUGAGGGCAGUGGAGUGGAGUUGACUGGCUGGGCGUGGCCUGAGGAAAGCUGGCCUGAGUUGACUUGGCGUGAAUUGACUUGAGUUGUCUUUGAGUUCACUAAUGGACCCAACACUCAGAUCCACCAAAAGAGAAGCCUUCUGGAGCUUGCACUUAGCUCGGACCAGGUCUCAUAGCACAGGGGGGCCUCUGUAGGUGACGUUCUAGGGACAUUGCAGGGCCCUCCGAAGAUGGGGGCAUCUCGGAGGGGACCAGGGCCACAGUCGGGACUCAGGAAACAGAUGGCAGCCUUGGCUUGGUCAGAGGACACCACAAGGCUAAAUAACUGUCCCUUCGGCGGCAUUAAAACUUACCGGAAUUCUACCAGGAUCUUUCCAUACAUUUAAGGCAAAUAGGUGCCUCCCUUCCUGGCAUAGGAAGGCCUUUCUGGGGCCACUCUCUGCAGUGGGAGGGCGGUCACUGGGUUUUCGGGUCACACAGACCCAGCAGUGAGGAGAGAAGACAGGCGAGGCCAGGAGCCAGGCAGAGCUUCCUGCUGCAGAUGCGGCACCACUGUGACUGGUCCUCCCGUGGGAGUGAGGCUGUGACCCUCGCCCCAGGCAGUGUUUGCUGCAGUAAACAGGGACCCCCGGAGCCACAGCAGGGAAUCGGCGGGACCUCCAGCCUCACAGUGUGGGGGGAGCAGUUGGUAUGGUGGGGGCCCCAUCCCAGGCACUGCCCACCGCAGGUACAGCCAGGCACCUGCGGGAGGGAGUGAGAAGACCAGUGCGCCUCUGUGAGCAGGGGCUGCCCUCGCUGCACCUGGCCACACCUGGCCACACCUGUGUCUGUCCCCCACACGGGUCUGGGAUCCCUCGGUGGAAACAUCCUGUUCCUCAGAGUUCCGCUUUGCACCCUCUAAAACCUGGGUGCAGAUGAGAUGCCAGCGUUCGAUGAAUGAAUAAUUAGGUCAGAGUAAGGCUUAGGAAGCCAGUGGAAGAUUUCAAGAUGGCAAGAUGGAAAAUUUCAAGAUGGCAAGAUGGCCAAGGUCCAAGGUGUAGAUGCCCAGCCAAGAAAACUGCCCAGGCCAGAUUCUGGCCCUCCGGAGUUUGGCUCACAGGGAGCUUGGACUCAGUGGCGUCAGGGACAGGGUGGUGUGGCGUGGGUUUGCACUGAUGCUCCAUAGGGCCCCGGGCUGCUGGGAAGGAAGGGCAGGCCCUAAAGAGGCAGCUCUGGGUCCCCCAGUCCCCGUCUCAAUCACAAAAGCUCUGCUUUUAUCUGUUUCAUAUAUUGGAUUUCCACAUAUAUUUCCAUUUUUUAAGGAUUCUUUUGAUUUAAAAAUGCACUUGGAAAGCACUGUGUCGGAAGAGCCCAGGCAUGUGCAGGUAGACCGUCAGCCCCACCCUCCACGGUGGUGGGGGGGUUGGCAAUUGCCCCCCCCCCAAGUCCCACAUUCUCACCCCAACGCCCCUCCCAGGGACUCCUGGGGGUUCGCCAAGAUGGCCCGAGUGCGGGUGACUGGUGCUGUAUGAGGUGACUUUGGGCAGUAUACCGAUGAACGUUUAUUAUUUUAGCAGCUCACAACUGACACAUGCUAGAAACAUAUUGCCAGAACACCAGACUCUAUGAUUUAUGGAAAUAAUAUAUAGCAUUUCCUUUGAAAAUAAAAUUGUGUGCUUUUUUUUUAAAAAAAAAAAAAAAGGCAAAUCAAUUUAAAGAGAAACACUAAGUAAAUGGAUAGUACUUACAGGGCGGAAUCACGAAGUUGGCAUGCAAAUAACUGAAAUUUAAGGGGGGAUUGAAAUAAUCUAUGUAAAAUACCUAGCACAGUGCCUGUCACUGAGGAAGGGCUCAGAAAGUGAGUUCUUUUAUCCUUCUCUUUAUGGGAACUCCCCUGGCACAACC